GGUGGCUCAGUGGUAGAGCGCUUGCCUUGCUUACAAGAGGCUCUGGGUUCGAUUCUCAGCACCA
rnacentral:tRNA from 1 species